rnacentral:rRNA from 1 species
UACGGGGGGGGCAAGUGUUGUUCGGAAUUACUGGGCGUAAAGGGCUCGUAGGUGGCCAACUAAGUCAGACGUGAAAUCCCUCAGCUUAACUGGGGAACUGCGUCUGAUACUGGAUGGCUUGAGUUUGGGAGAGGGAUGCGGAAUUCCAGGUGUAGCGGUGAAAUGCGUAGAUAUCGGAAGGAACACCAGUGGCGAAAGCGGCUUCCUGGUCCAGCACCGACGUUCAGGCACGAAAGCGUGGGGAGCAAACAGG